CAGCCGUAAACUAUGCGCGUUAGGUGUAUCGGUGACCACGAGUUACCGAGGUGCCGAAGGGAAACCGUGAAACGUGCCGCCUGGGAAGUACGGUCGCAAGGCUGAAACUUAAAGGAUUGGCGGGGGAGCACCACAACGGGUGGAGCCUGCGGUUUAAUUGGACUCAACGCCGGGAAGCUCACCGGAUAAGACAGCGGAAUGAUUGCCGGGCUGAAGACUCUGCAUGACUAGCUGAGAGGAGGUGCAUGGCGUAGACGUCU
rnacentral:rRNA from 1 species